CAGGCUUCCUGUUCCUUAAGUGGAGUCCUAUUAAGAAUCACUUUCCUCUUUUCAAGUUUGUCUACACUUGCGGAAAGUAUAGCUCAGAAGUGGGAUUUGCAAAUAUGGGAAAUAAAGAAUAGGGAUGUUAAAUUUUGCUAUUGUUCAAAUUUAUAGCUUAUAAAGUAAUAACAAAGUGUCAGGCAAGUAAGAGGUCUCAGUGUGGGAGAUUGCAGACUUUUUUGCAGACUUGAGAAAAUCAUCAGUUCUGGAUUGAAAGGUGGUUAUGAUGAAGAGAUGCCAGGACCUGCUUCUAAAUUGCUGGGUGGAUAAAAACUCUGGAAGGACUUGAAACUGCUGAUAGAUGAACGCAGGAAGGUGAAAUAAUUGUGAACAAAAUGGGAUGCCUGGUACAUAUGGAACAAGGAGUUUUUGAGUUACAGGUGAAGACAGUAAAUAUUGAAACCCUAGCUUAUAACACUGCUUAUUCUCAUUUUAUAACACUGAUUUUUUAAAACCCAGUCUGAAAUAAAGAUUAUGUAAAAUAAGUAGUUAAUUUGCUU
rnacentral:lncRNA from 1 species